rnacentral:rRNA from 1 species
GAUAAACGCUGGCGGCGUGCUUCAGGCAUGCAAGUCGAACGGUCCACACCGGCUUGCCGGGGUGGAUAGUGGCGGACGGGUGAGUAACACGUAAGUAACCUGCCCAGAAGUGGGGAAUAACUGGCCGAAAGGCUAGCUAAUACCGCAUGUGAUGGCUCUUCUCUGGAGGAGUCAUGAAAGGCUUAGGCCGCUUCUGGAGGGGCUUGCGGCCGAUUAGCUUGUUGGNGGGGUAACGGCCUACCAAGGCGACGAUCGGUAGCUGGUCUGAGAGGACGGACAGCCACACGGGGACUGAGAUA